rnacentral:rRNA from 1 species
UACGUAGGGCGCAAGCGUUAUCCGGAAUUAUUGGGCGUAAAGAGCUCGUAGGCGGUCUGUCGCGUCUGCUGUGAAAACUCAGGGCUUAACCCUGAGCUUGCAGUGGGUACGGGCAGACUAGAGUGCGGUAGGGGAGACUGGAAUUCCGUGGUGUAGCGGUGAAAUGCGCAGAUAUCAGGAGGAACACCGGUGGCGAAGGCGGAUCUCUGGGCCAUAACUGACGCUGGAGGAGCGAAAGCCAUGGGGAGC